UAGUCCACGCCGUAAACGAUGGAUACUAGUUGUUGGGCAUUAGCUCAGUGACUAAGCGAAGGUGAUAAGUAUCCCACCUGGGGAGUACGGUCGCAAGACUGAAACUCAAAGGAAUUGACGGGGGCCCGCACAAGCGGUGGAGCAUGUGGUUUAAUUCGAUGAUACGCGAGGAACCUUACCAGGGCUUAAAUGUAGUCUGACAGCUUUAGAGAUAGAGUUUUCUUCGGACAGAUUACAAGGUGCUGCAUGGUUGUCGUCAGCUCGUGCCGUGAGGUGUCAGGUUAAGUCCUAUAACGAGCGCAACCCCUGUUGUUAGUUGCCAUCGAGUAAUGUCGGGAACUCUAACAAGACUGCCGGUGCAAACCGUGAGGAAGGUGGGGAUGACGUCAAAUCAUCACGGCCCUUACGUCCUGGGCCACACACGUGCUACAAUGGUAGGUACAGAGAGCAGCCACGUCGCGAGGCGGAGCGAAUCUAUAAAACCUAUCUCAGUUCGGAUCGGAGU
rnacentral:rRNA from 1 species